rnacentral:rRNA from 1 species
UACAGAGACUGCGAGCGUUAUUCGGAUUCACUGGGCGUAAAGGGUGCGCAGGUGGCCAAGUAUGUUAGGCGUGAAAGCCCGGGGCUUAACCCCGGAAUUGCACCUAAAACUACUUGGCUAGAGCAUUGGAGAGGGGAGCAGAAUUCAUGGUGUAGCAGUGAAAUGCGUAGAUAUCAUGAGGAAUACCAGAGGCGAAGGCGGCUCCCUGGACAAUUGCUGACACUCAGGCACGAAAGCGUGGGGAGCAAAAGGG